rnacentral:rRNA from 1 species
ACUCCGUGCCAGCAGCCGCGGUAAUACGGAGGAUGCAAGCGUUAUCCGGAUUCAUUGGGUUUAAAGGGUGCGCAGGCGGAAUAAUAAGUCAGCGGUGAAAGCCUACAGCUUAACUGUAGAACUGCCAUUGAUACUGUUAUUCUUGAGUGUUGUUGAGGUAGGCGGAAUGUGUCAUGUAGCGGUGAAAUGCUUAGAUAUGACACAGAACACCGAUCGCGAAGGCAGCUUACCAAGCAACAACUGACGCUCAUGCACGAAAGCGUGGGGAUCAAACAGGAUUAGAUACCCUGGUAGUCCACGCCGUAAACGAUGAUCACUCGAUGUUGGCGAUACACAGUCAGCGUCUUAGCGAAAGUAUUAAGUGAUCCACCUGGGGAGUACGGUCGCAAGAUUGAAACUCAAAGGAAUUGACGGGGGCCCGCACAAGCGGAGGAGCAUGUGGUUUAAUUCGAUGAUACGCGAGGAACCUUACCUGGGCUCGAACGUGGAAUGACAGUCGCGGAAACGUGAUCUUCUUCGGACAUUCUACGAGGUGCUGCAUGGUUGUCGUCAGCUCGUGCCGUGAGGUGUCGGGUUAAGUCCCAUAACGAGCGCAACCCCUAUCUUUAGUUGCCAUCAGGUAAUGCUGGGGACUCUAAAGAAACUGCCUACGCAAGUAGUGAGGAAGGCGGGGAUGACGUCAAAUCAGCACGGCCCUUACGUCCAGGGCUACACACGUGCUACAAUGGUCGGUACAGAGGGCAGCUACCUGGUGACAGGAUGCAAAUCUCCAAAGCCGGUCUCAGUUCGGAUCGAAGUCUGAAACUCGACUUCGUGAAGUUGGAUUCGCUAGUAAUCGCGCAUCAGCCAUGGCGCGGUGAAUACGUUCCCGGGCCUUGUACACACCGCCCGUCAAGCCAUGGAAGUUGGGGGUACCUGAAGUACGUAACCGCAAGGAGCGUCCUAGGGUAAAACCGAUAACUGGGGCUAAGUCGUAACAAGGUAGCCGUACCGGAAGGUGCGGCUG